AGGAACUUAAGUUAAACACCAAACUAGGGGCCUUCAAAGCCCCAAACAUGUACAUCAACACAUAGAUCC
rnacentral:tRNA from 1 species